AAAGGUGCAGUUUAUCCCUGAUGUAAUAUCUUUGUAAGCUGAUAAAGUACACUUCAAAGAAAUAAAGAUCAACUAAAUGGUAACUUUCAUGUGUAUGCAAACCCCAAGAUUAGUCUGGGCGGGGGGGGGGGGGGUGGCGAAAUUUUGGUCUCCUUUCCUAUUCAAAUAUCUUUUAGUGGUUUCUUUCAGGAAAACUUUGAUGUAUGGAGUUACUUCGGGCUAAUUUGAGUCUGGUCACAUGGAUUAAAUAGACUAGUGCUGUCACAAAUAGACUAAUACACUCCUGGAACUCAUCUGCUUUUGUUUUCUCCAAAAGGAAUCCUAUUUACGUGCUCAGAGACUGCUCCGUAAUUGAACCAAAGCGUGGAAAUGGUCACCGUUGGCUGAUUCUCUUCAGAAGUGAACUUCCAAGUCAAACUAAAAUGAUGCCACUAAGUUAAGACACUCAGUAAUUCAGACUGACUCAUCAUUCCCUAAGUCAUCGGAGAGGACUGGAAAAUACAGCAGUGGAAGAGGAGCGCUUACAGGAUGUUCGCUACAGUGGCCAGCAAGAGAGGCAGGACUGCAGACUUGUCCGGUCUCUCAUGGGAAGAGGAGGUGGAAGCAAGCCUAGGAAAGCUGCUGUUUGCCAUGGCACAGGACUACAAAUACGCCAGGCUGACUCAUCUUCUGCCGUGAAGUCAUAGUUCUUGUGCCUGUGACCCCAAAAUCAGUUGCCAGAGAAAUAAAUGUGAUGCCACAAAUCCAAUCCAGGAUUUCAGUACAGGAUCAAGUGCAAGGAGCAAAGAAGAUAAGAGGCUUUCUAAAAUAGAAGUAUCUAUUAGAAAAAUCCAUUUGUUUUUGUCAGCUCUGUUUGAACAGAUUGUUCCAGUGUCAAAAUCUCCAUUUAACUGGAAUAAAUAUAUAUGUAAGUUUUGCAAUGAUUUUGUGCUCCUAGGACUUAUCCAGAUUCCACAGAAAUCAACUAAAAGGCUCCUAUUAAUUUCAGUGGACUUUGUUUUGGCCUCUCCUAAAAAUCUUUGUGUUUAUCGAUAUUAAACUGAGAAGUGGGUGUUACAAGUAGAAGAGCUUGUCAUAUAACUUACUUUCAAAGAAUCCCAAUCUAGAGUGUGCCAAAUUCUGCGCUUGCGCUUUCUCUCAACUUCCAUUAAACAGAAAAUGAGCGAAUCUCAUCCUAGAAGUGGUCGGAGCAAGGUUUUAAACAUGAGUAGUUACCUAUGGGAUGUUGAAAUGCUAAGGCAUUGGAAUUCUUAGUUGCCUAAGUGUCUUUGAAAAUCUAGCCUUCUGUAGCUUUGAACUAUUUAGUACACAUUUAAUGGUUAUAUUUAAAAAUGAGAAAAAUAUAUUCUGUAAUAAGAUUUGCCUGGACUUCAAAUUAAAAUGUUAAAGGAUGAUCCUCCUCUAUUUUUGUGUUUACUUUAGUGAUUUAAUAAAUCAGCCAUUUACCCCUUU